rnacentral:rRNA from 1 species
UACGUAGGUGGCAAGCGGUGUCCGGCAUUACUGGGUGGAAAGGGCGUGUAGGCGGGACUGCAAGUCAGAUGUGAAAUUUCCAGGCCCAACCUGGGGGCUGCAUCUGAAACUGUGGUUCUUGAGUGCUGGAGAGGAAAGCGGAAUUCCUAGUGUAGCGGUGAAAUGCGUAGAUAUUAGGAGGAACACCAGUGGCGAAGGCGGCUUUCUGGACAGUAACUGACGCUGAGGCGCGACAGCGUGGGGAGCAAACAGG